UACGUAGGGGGCAAGCGUUGUCCGGAUUUAUUGGGCGUAAAGCGCGUGUAGGCGGCCAGGUAGGUCCGUUGUGAAAACUCGAGGCUCAACCUCGAGACGUCGGACGGAAACCUAUCGGCUAGAGUCCGGAAGAGGAGAGUGGAAUUCCUGGUGUAGCGGUGAAAUGCGCAGAUAUCAGGAAGAACACCCGUGGCGAAAGGCGGCUCUCUGGGAACGGUACUGACGCUGAGACGCGAAAGCGUGGGGAGCGAAACAGGAUUAGAAACC
rnacentral:rRNA from 1 species